rnacentral:rRNA from 1 species
AUUGAACGCUGGCGGCAGGCCUAACACAUGCAAGUCGAACGGUAACACGAAGCGACUUUCUUCUUUCCUGUCGCGUGGCGCGGGUGUGUGAAAUGUAUGUGAGACUCCCCUAUGUCGGGGGAUAACUCGUGGAAACGGUAGCUAUAACCGCAUAACUUCCCAACAGCAAAGAGCGGGAGAUUAUGGCCUCUUGCCAUCUGCUAUGCCCAGGUGGGAUUAGCUAGUAGGUGGGGUAACGGCUCACCAAGGCGACGAUCCCUAGCUGGUCUGAGAGGAUGAUCAGCCACACUGGAACUGAGACACGGUCCAGACUCCUACGGGAGGCAGCAGUGGGGAAUAUUGCACAAUGGGCGCAAGCCUGAUGCAGCCAUGCCGCGUGUGUGAAGAAGGCCUUCGGGUUGUAAAGCACUUUUAGUGGGGAAGAAGAGAGGAAAGUUAAUACCUGUGCGUAUUGACGUUACCCAAAGAAGAAGCACCGGCUAACUACGUG